GCGGUGAGCCGAGGCCCGGAGCCCGUCCCGGCGGCUCCGCACCCACCCGCCUGGCAGAGCUGGAAGGGGGGGGCACGGGCGGGGCGGCCCCUCAGGGCCGGGGGACCUCGCAGGUCAGGCAGGAUGCUUUCUGGAAUAAUCCGUACUGCCCACAUACCAGCAGGUGGAGCAUCUGUGACAUAAGACAGACCUCGGGCUCCCUCCAGCAUUUGGGAAAAGUGGUUGCCAUGAUUAGUUUGCAGCUAAUAUAGUGGUUGUCCAAGUAACUUGCAUCAUGAAAUUGUAAAAUUCCCAUAACAGUGGAGGAAGCAGGAAUCCUUCAGCUGGAAGAUAGAGUGCAGGGCUACUCUUUGGCCACAGUGCUCUUUAAACCAUCCUGAAAGUGCAGCAGUAGUCAGGCCCUGUGGUGUGAGUAUUCUUUCUCCGUGUUUUUGGAGUGGUCUUUGCAGAACAGCCUCCCUCAUUAAGAAGAUUAUAAAGCAAAUACUAAAUUGCACUAAAUGAUGUUACAUAUAAACUGGAGGGGGGCAGAUAUAGACUAGACAUAAGGAAGAAUUUCUUCACCAUGAGACUGAUGAGACACUGGAACAGGUUGCCCAGGGAUAUGGAUGCCCCAUCCCUGGGGGUGUUCACUGCCAGGCUGGAUGGGGCCUUUGGCAGCCUCAGCUAGUGGGACGUGUCUCUGCCCAUGGCAAGGGGAUUGGAACUAGAUGAUCUUUAAGGUCCCUUCCAACCCAAACUAUUCUAUGAUUCUAUGUUCUUACUGCUGAAUUAUUUUCUAUUUGAGGUGUGACGGAGAUCUCAGCUGCUUGUGUAUUACUCUAUUUUGCAGGUAUGCAUAAAAUAUAAGUGUUUAGGUUCUGUAAUUCAAAUUGCAGCUAAUAAAAGUUGCUUUAGGAUUAACUUUGGAAUAACUGUGUUUAUUACUUCCAGACUGCCUAUCACUAUAGGCUGGAUAAUGGCAUUCUUUGUUGCUGAUCUGGGUUUUUUUUUCUCCCUGAGAAAUAGAUUACUUUUCUUAAUUCGUUUUUCAUGUGAAAAGCAGAGUGGAAGAAGAUGAAUCCUAAAUAAUUCUCUUUGAGAAAGCACUUUGCCAAGACUGAAUAUAGGAAUAAUUUGUAGCAGAUCCUACAAUUUCUUUUUCUUUUUAAAUCCUGCUCAGUGCAGGGCUCUCCAAAUACCAGAACUAGCUGUGACUACUGGACAGCAUUUGGCAGUGCAGUGUUAGGAUAUUUCUUGACAUUGUGAACCCCAGAAUGGACAUGUAAGUUUCCAAUUUUUUAGACAAUUUUCAGACAAUUGAAAAUGCAUUGGGAUAUUAUACUAAUUCAUGUUGUGAAUUAUCUAAUGGCUUAAAGCUUUGGAAAGAAUUUCUUGCUGUAUGUGCUUCUCCUGCCAUUUACUUUACAUCGGCACUCAGUAGACAUCUCAGUAAACUGAUUCAAUUUGUACAACAGUUGAAGGGUCAUGCAAUGAACUACAUUCGUGUUUUAAUUGGGAUCAGGAGUGCAUUUUUGACAUGACUGUUCUGAUGGUCUUCAGUUACUGUUCUGCAGUUCUUGUGGAAUGUGCAAAUUGACUUCUUUUGAAUGAAACAAAGUUGAGAGGCGUGCUUCUGGACUUGGCUAAUGCAUUUGAUUUAAGGCUGUUUAGACCAUUGAUGGGACUACUAGGCUUAAUCCUGAAUUGAAGCCGCAUGGAACACAUGUAGUUUGAGUAUUGUUUUCAGCACAAACUGUUCUGUUUUGCAGAUCUCCUCCUGUUGUGCAGGGCGCAGGGUUGGUUUAUUUAAGAUGGCUACACUGGUUAGUUAGCAAAAAGGUGUGAAAAGUACCAGUCAAUGCAAGGAAGAGAGAGUUCAUUUUAUCUGCUAGUCAUACUGAUUAAACUGAGUAGCUUUCAUUCUUAUUUUUAAACUCGGUGACAGCAUGAGAUAAUUCAAGGUUUGCUGAACCAAAAGUACUCAAAAAGCAGGAUUCUCAUGUCAGGUGAAUGACCUAGAGCUCUGCAUUUGUGACAAAAGGGACAGUUUAAUGUGCCGGGCUGUCCAUGUUCUAUAUUUAUUUUAUUGUUAUUUGAAAAGCCAUACUUAAUAAUGGGAGGAAACAGAACUGAGACUUCCUAUGGAAAAAUACAGACUUAAAAUCUGUAGUCUAUCCUUAAGUGUAAGGCAUCCUUGUGUAUUGUUAAAGAGUGACAUUUUAAGAACUUCAUCUUCAA